rnacentral:tmRNA from 1 species
GGGGGCGUUUUGGAUUCGACGCCGGUUACAAAACCCGAUGUGCAUGCCGAGACGGCAACUAGUCUCGUUAAUCCAAAGUUGCAAACCUAUAGUUGCCAACGACGACAACUACGCACUCGCUGCUUAAACCCCAGUAGGGUGCCGUCUGACCGGAGCCGCGCCUGCGCGUCCGGGCUCUUCGGAGCACUCAGGCGUCAUAUCUCGCAGGAUCGCGCUGAAGUUUGUCCGGGAUGGAUGCGCUAAAAAACACCGGAAUCGCCAAUCGCACGCCCUGUCGGCCGGGCAGCGAGCGGUUAAAAAAAGUAGACCUGACUAAGCAUGUAGAGCUGAGGGCGGAGGACUGACGGACGCGGGUUCAACUCCCGCCGCCUCCACCA